UACGGGGGGAGCAAGCGUUGUUCGGAGUUACUGGGCGUAAAGCGUGCGUAGGCGGUGCCAUAAGUCUGUUGUGAAAUCUCCCGGCUUAACUGGGAGGGUGCGGUGGAAACUGUGGUGCUGGAGUGUGGGAGAGGUAGGCGGAAUUCCAGGUGUAGCGGUGAAAUGCGUAGAUAUCUGGAGGAACACCGGUGGCGAAGGCGGCAUCCUGGACCGGCAUUGACGCUGAGGCGCGAAAGCGUGGGGAGCAAACGGG
rnacentral:rRNA from 1 species